UUCGGCAGCACAUAUACUAAAAGAAAAAAAAAUUGCAACGAUACAGGGAAGAUUAGCAUGGCCCUUGCGCAAGGAUGACAUGAAAAUUCGUGAAGCGUUCCAUAUUAAA